CAAGCUAAGCACGUUGUCAUAUAUAUAAUCCAUUUCCUGGUUAACGUAAAAUUAUUUCAAAUAUUUAGUCCCUAUCCAACUAUUACGUGCCCGUGCCUAUUCUUUUAGUGUUUUAGUGCGUACUGCGGUCUCAGUGAUCGUGUUGCGAGUGCUUUCAGCUUGGCGUCGGGCAGUUGAAUAACACUUUCCUGAAACCUGAGCUGUGAGCUGCAACCUCCACGCAA